rnacentral:rRNA from 1 species
AACGAACGCUGGCGGCAUGCCUAACACAUGCAAGUCGAACGAGACCUUCGGGUCUAGUGGCGCACGGGUGCGUAACGCGUGGGAACCUGCCCUUAGGUUCGGAAUAACUCCCCGAAAGGGGUGCUAAUACCGGAUAAUGUCUUCGGACCAAAGAUUUAUCGCCUUUGGAUGGGCCCGCGUUGGAUUAGCUAGUUGGUAGGGUAAAAGCCUACCAGGGCGACGAUCCAUAGCUGGUCUGAGAGGAUGAUCAGCCACACUGGGACUGAGACACGGCCCAGACUCCUACGGGAGGCAGCAGUGGGGAAUAUUGGACAAUGGGCGAAAGCCUGAUCCAGCAAUGCCGCGUGAGUGACGAAGGCCUUAGGGUUGUAAAGCUCUUUUACCCGGGAUGAUAAUGACAGUACCGGGAGAAUAAGCUCCGGCUAACUCCGUG